GAGUUUGAUCUUGGCUCAGAUUGAACGCUGGCGGCAUGCCUUACACAUGCAAGUCGAACGGCAGCAUGAUCUAGCUUGCUAGAUUGAUGGCGAGUGGCGAACGGGUGAGUAAUACAUCGGAACGUGCCCUGUAGUGGGGAUAACUAGUCGAAAGAUUAGCUAAUACCGCAUACGACCUGAGGGUGAAAGUGGGGGACCGGCAAGGCCUCAUGCUAUAGGAGCGGCCGAUGUCUGAUUAGCUAGUUGGUGGGGUAAAGGCCCACCAAGGCGACGAUCAGUAGCUGGUCUGAGAGGACGAUCAGCCACACUGGGACUGAGACACGGCCCAGACUCCUACGGGAGGCAGCAGUGGGGAAUUUUGGACAAUGGGCGAAAGCCUGAUCCAGCAAUGCCGCGUGUGUGAAGAAGGCC
rnacentral:rRNA from 1 species